rnacentral:lncRNA from 13 species
UCCUGAGCCCCAGUCACGGCUAUAAAACAUUAAAAGCAAACUGGCGAUUGUUAAACACUGCAUUUGUUUACACCCCGAUUCUUGAAUCACAAUGGGGCAGCUUAGGCCGCCAAGGCCCGGCGAGGCCCGGCUUUCUCCUGGACACUGGAGUCUGUUCUCCGACCCAAGGGACACAAGAAAAUUUAGAAAGUACACUAUAAUUUUGUAAAUUGAGAAGAUGCAGAAAAGAAGUAUAAUGAAGAAAGUAAUUAAUUUUACUAUUGUUGCCCAGGCUGGAGUACAGUGACAUGAUCUUGGCUCACUGCAACCUCUGCCUCCCAGUUCAAGCAAAUCUCCUGCCUCAACCUCGCAAGUAGCUGAGACUACAGGUGCCUGCCACCACACUGCGCUUUUUGUAUUUUUAGUAGAGACGAGGUUGCACCACGUUGGCCAGGCUGGUCUUUAACUGCUGACCUCAGGUGAUCCACCCCCCUUGGCCUCCCGAAAUGCUGGGAUUACAGGCGUGAACCACGG